UACCUUGUGAAUGCUAAAGAGCUCUUAAAGUGUAAGACCUCUGAUUUACUAAUUACAUUUGAAGAACUAAUGGAAGUAAAAAUCUAGAUAAUUUAGUUUUAUUUCUCUGUGAGAAUAUAACUAUUGUCGUGUGUGUGUGUGUGUGUGUGUGAUAGUAGCAAAACUAUAUAUUCAUGUGCAAAUGUAGCAUUAUUACUGUAAGAAAAC